CUCUUGCUUGGCAUGCAUUGGUGACUUGAACUGGGGGUUAACCCAAAAAGAUCAAGUGCGAGCUCAAGGCGGAUGAUGAGAACAGAUUCCGGGCUGGUUAACCUCAGAAAGCGGGAGUCCGUUGGUGCUAAUGAGGCCAAGGGAGCCCGGCUCCUUUCUGCCCCCAGGCAGGUGAGAAAGAAAGAACAGAGACGAAAGAGGGCCAGCUGUGUCUACUCCUCUUGGCCCGGAAGCCCAGCUCGACCCUGAGGCCACAAACUGCCCCCUACUGGAGAAAUCGCUGAAGGAUUUCUCCUCCGUCAAAUCGCUGUGUCAGAGCCAGUUGGGGGCUUUUAAAAGACACCCACGCUCAGGCCCCCACCAAGCCACCUACACUGAAAUAUCUGAGGCUAAGUCCCAAGCUAGAAUUUCCUUCCUUCUUUCUGGCCUUGGGAGAUUUUGCACCUCCUUCCAGGGAAGGAAGCCUGACUUCUGAAAUGAUUCUCACGAAAGAGAAGUGCUCCGUUCUGCAGUGAGCCUGACCAGGGAGGCCACACCACAGACUCCAGGAGGCUUCUGCUCUGCGUGGCUCUUCUGCUCUCGUUUCCUUAACGAUUGGGCCAGAGCAUCUCUGCUCUUGUGAAAUAUCAGGCAAUUAGAUCUCGAAGUCUUUCAAGUGGGCAGAUUCACCAGGCGUUGGACUGAAGUUUCUAUUUGUCCUGGCACUGGGAAUAGCAAAGGAACAGGGGGACUGAACUGGUUUGGAAAGAGGCACAGAGAGGUGAAGUCUCUUGCUGAUAUCUUCUAGACCGGCCUGGCUGCAGGGUCUGUUGCUCCCAACCAGAGGAAACAGAACCAUGAAAGAACAAGUCUCCAGGAAGCCAGUUGCCAUGUUAUGGGGAGGACACUCAGGCAGCCGCAUGGGGAGACUCAUGUGGGGAGGAACUGAGAUGUCUUGCCAACAGCCGUAUGAGGGAACCAUCUUGGAAAUGAAUCUUCCAGCCUCAAUCAAGUCUUCAGAUGACCAGAGCCUCAGCUGAUAACUUGGCUGCAGCCUCAUGAGAGGCCCUGAGCCAGCACCACUCAGCCAAGGUGUUCCUAGAUUCCUGCCUCUCAAAAACUGUGUGAGAUAAAUAGGUGCUUAUUGUUUAAAGUUGUUUAAGGUAGAUAACUAAAACAGGAGGCUCUACAUUUACUCUUUAUUUUUUUCUUGGAGACAGAGUCUU